rnacentral:rRNA from 1 species
UAGUCCACGCCGUAAACGAUGGUUACUAGCUGUCCGGUACGAUUGAGUACUGGGUGGUCAAGCGAAAGUGAUAAGUAACCCACCUGGGGAGUACGUUCGCAAGAAUGAAACUCAAAGGAAUUGACGGGGGCCCGCACAAGCGGUGGAGCAUGUGGUUUAAUUCGAUGAUACGCGAGGAACCUUACCAGGGCUUAAAUGUAGUAUGACAGGUUUGGAAACAGACUUUUCUUCGGACAUAUUACAAGGUGCUGCAUGGUUGUCGUCAGCUCGUGCCGUGAGGUGUCAGGUUAAGUCCUAUAACGAGCGCAACCCCUAUUGCUAGUUGCCAGCGGAUAAUGCCGGGGACUCUAGCGAGACUGCCGGUGCAAACCGUGAGGAAGGUGGGGAUGACGUCAAAUCAUCACGGCCCUUACGUCCUGGGCCACACACGUGCUACAAUGGUAGGGACAGAGAGCAGCCACUUCGCGAGAAGGAGCGAAUCUUCAAACCCUAUCACAGUUCGGAUCGCAGU